GCGGGCGUAGUUCAGUGGUAGAACGUUUCCUUGCCAAGGAAAAGGUCGUGAGUUCGAAUCUCAUCGCCCGCU
rnacentral:tRNA from 2 species